GGGAGAUCAAAUAAAUGAGAUUAUUGACAGAGAAACAGAUGAAAGCUGAGUGAGGUUGCGGAGGAAGAUCGGAAAGGGCCAGUGAGAGAAGCAUCGAAGAUUUGACGACGACGGAGGGAGAAUCGUCGGGGUCACGUUCAAACCCAGUAAAAAAUACCCUAUCUGAGUUAGAGAGAAUUUCAGUCUUUGUAGAUACAACAAAUGUUGAUUUUGAGCAAAAAUUAAAGGCGAAGUACACAAAAAUGAUUGAACGAUCGAAGAAGAAGCGCUGCAAAUUUGAUAGUGUUUUUUAUUUUUCAAUUGUAUUUUGAUUUUCUAGAGAAAAUGGUUGAGAUGGUGUUAAAGUGUGGUGGGUGGUGGCUAU
rnacentral:lncRNA from 1 species